AGGCGCGCUGCGCGUGCGCACCCGCAGCGCCGCCCAGCGGGAGUUGUAGUUUCUGAUCGGUCCCCACCAACGCGACGGCGGGGGCGGUGGACUACGACUCCCAGGAAGCCUCGCGCGGGCGAGCCCCGAACCCGAGGACGCGGCGAGCGCGGCGCCCGGCCCUCUCCGGCAAGGACUGUCAAUGGAGGCGCGGGUGGUGGGAGCAAGAACAUGGCUGCACCUGGGGCCUGCGCGGCCGCCUGGGUGGGGGAGGGGAGCCGGGGCACGGGGGCGCAAAUCUAGGCCGGGGGGUAGCCCCCGCCCCCUCACUGCCCCGAUGCAGCCGGCCUCAGCCACCGUCCAGGACUCGCACCCACUCUUGCACCCCAGAUUCCCUGCCGAUUGCGAGGCCGGAACUCGGCAGAGGCCGGGGAGCCCCAGCCGGCCUGCCGCUCUCGGUGCUCCGCCAAGGGACUUCAUCCGCGCCGCACCACCCUUCGGGACACAAAGAACUUCUGUUAGUUUUGAAAAGCCUCAAAAGCGUCCGAAAGAGACUGUUGCCCCAACUUUGGACGGGCGACGGGAGGGGACUCUCCUGUUUUUAUUUACCGCCCCUCACCCCAGGCUUGCUUUCCUCACGCCCCCUCACUCAACAUUUAGAAGGAAAGUUGAGGGAAAGCCACCGAGUGAGAGCAGAAAACCUGCCGUGUAGCCCGUUUUGUUCUGUCAACCGCGAAGAAAGGUUACCGAAACCUCUCCCCCCGCGACUAAUUCUUUUGCUUCUCAACUUGAGCUCUCGAAUUUCGAAAAGGAUGAGACAUUGCUGUUCACCUAAGCGAAACUCCAAAGUUUACCAAACUCGAGCCCCGAGGGCUUAGACAGUUCUGUAAAGCACAAGAUCGAGUGAUUUUGCGAUUUUUACCCCCCAGCGGAGAUGGGGGGGACCACGCCGGCCAUCCUCCCCCUCCCCCUCCUCCUCGGUAGGUGGCGACCACGGCGCUUUUUCCAGCCUUUGUCGCUGGAAAGAAAACUUUCCGAGCAGCCAGGCUUUUGAUGUAGGUCCAAGACCUUCCCUUUGACUCUUCGUUCCAGAUUGGCGUUCCCCAUCUUUCUUGCAAUAGACCGCACCCAUAAGGCAGCCGAAUCUACAAUUUCCAUGCUGGGAUUCUUUAAGAUAGAGGGAGACUUUAAAGAUCCCUGCAGAAGCGGUCCGAUUACAGAUUUCCACAUUUUUACGAUUUCCCCUGCAACGUUUUUACAGGCAUUUUGUCCCCGCCUAACCCGAUUGUGACUCUUCUUUGUCGAGUCUCUCCAAAGCGUUCAUUUCGUUUUCAUGAAAAGUUUUCUUUUUGCACUCGUAUUUCAUUAACAUACUGGACUAUUAAAUUCCGUAUUCCCAGUAGCACGUAAAAGUGACAUCUAUGUAAGGAACAAACCAAAUUUUGAGAAAGUCUGCAAUUGAGCUGAUGGGAGCAGUCAGCCUUCCAGGGACAAACAUUCAGCCUCUGUGAGCACCGGCUCCAUGCUGGGUGUGGAUCCCGAUGAGGGGCCUGAACUCACGACCCUGAGAUCAAAACCUGAGAUGAGAUCAAGAGGUGGAUGCUUAACCAACUGAGUCACCCAGUUACACCUGAAACUCCUUUAUAUAUAAAUGGGGAAUCAUGCUGCUAUAUGUGAGCAGCCCCGUGGAGAGGCCCAGAUGCUGGGAAAGUGAAGCCAUUGGCCAACAGCCAAGUGAGCGAGCUUGGGAACAGAUUCUCCUGCCCCGAUUCCAGGAGGUGACUGCUACCCAACCAUGGCUGGAGUGCAAGCUCCUGGGACGCUCACAGCCAGAAGCACUCCUCCAGCUGCUCCUGGAUUCCUGACCCUCAGAACCAAUACUAGACAGCAGGAGGCUCCGGGUCUUGGCAAAGCACGUGGCUGAUGCUUGUUUCAUGGCCAGAUGAGCCAACGAAUUGUCUCUCCCGUGGGCUCGCGGCCUUUUGGGAAGACACCGUGGUCACUUCUACCUCCCACCCCUGACAGCCAACCCAGGAGGCCGUGUCUCACAAACGUACCAAAGUCACACCAGGGAACUCCCCAACCACUGCAGUCCCUUCCCUGUUUGCAGAUUUUCUUCCAACUGUUCUCUUCCUUUGGAUCCAGGGAACCAAGGUGCUGAGGUCCUGAGGACACCCUGAGGACACCCAAGGUCCCGGAGAGGAGAAACCUCUCAGGGGACAAUGGCACGUGGCGUUGAGAGCACCUGCUGGGCUGGGCUGGCCUUGGGAGGACCCUUCUGUUGGAUCGUAAAGCGGGGCGGCCCCUUGUCAAGCAAAGGAAAGGGGAAGGGCCAGCCAGGCAGAAGGCCUGGGCAGAGGUGUGGGGGUACAAGAGGCUCUAGAAUGUUCUGAGAACAGUGAGGACAUUGGUUUGGCUGGAGCUCAAGGCACAGCGGGAGAUACGGAAGGAGCUAGUGGCCGGGCCUCGGGUGCCAGGGUGAGGCCCGUGGAUUUCCUCCUGGGGCAGCAGAGGCUGGAAGGGCUGUGUGACACCGGGCAAACUGAUUCACCUCUCUGAGCCAAAUGGGGAAAACAACGGGACGUGAGCCUCAAAGGAGAUCACGUGUCGGCAAGAGCCUGGUACCCCGCCUGACACGAAGCACGACUCGGCAGGUGUUCUGUUGCUACCGAAUUAAACUGGUUUGAAUAUAUGAGACUUCGAGAAAGGAUGUGCCCCCGUGUGCUACACAAGCAGGGCUUGGUGCUUGACUGAGUGGCCAGGUCACUGAGUAGAAACCAGAAGGGUCGUAAUAACACAGCAUGAGGGUGGGCUGGGCCCACGAGGUGACUGUCCGGCUGGUGAAGAAAUACCAGAGGCUGGGGGGUCUGUGACAUGGCAUAGACACCCCGGGAAACAGAAGACUCUGGGGGCAGAAGGAGCCCUGGGAAUGGGUCGGAGCAAAGCGAUUUUGUAGAAGGCUCCGCCCGAAAAUGAAGUCAGAGGUGCUGGCCCAGGGCGGUGGCCAACCCAGCGUCACGGUAGGACCGUAAAGACAGCCAAGGUCAGGGGAGGGCAGACGCAGGUCAUAGCUUCUACCCUCUGAGCACGUGUCCCAGACUCUCCUCCCGAGGCCUCUGAAGGGCCAUCUGCAUUCUGCCUUCAACCUAGGGACAGCUCCCAAACUCACGGCCUCCCUGCCUGCGAAUCUAGUGCCGCACCUGGCCCGUGACUGGCGCAGGAUGGGGGGCGGGGGCUUCUGGUCGGGCCGUGCCACCCUAGGCCGUGGAGUUCCUGGGGGACCUGGACCCACCCGGAGUGGGGGCCUCGGGUCUCAGGCCAGCAUGGGGGCCCGUCACUGUCCCCACUGAGCCCUGGGUGGGGCCUGCGGGUCAGAUGGAUGGUCCUGACACCAGGCUCGAGGUGGCCACCAACUCCCCAGGUGGCCCUGCCGAGCCCCUUUCCCUCUCUGGGCCUCAGUUUCCCAGCUGCACAACGCGGUUGGGACGAGAUGAGUGCUCUGAAUCAGCGGCACGUCUCCCAGUCACCCGGGGAAACCAUCCCACCAGACAGUCUCCCAGCUUCCUGUGAACCCCAGGCUUCUGGGAGACAGGCCCGGGGCUGGCGUGGGCCUGCCUCCCCCUGCUGGCCACACACAUCGGCCCUCUCCUCCCAGGUGGCUUCCGUGAUCCCAUGUGACAUCCUCUCCUCCAGGCUCCCGCCUGCCCUCGUCGCCUCCAGCGGAUCUGACCCGCUCAGCCGCCGCUGUGGCAGGGCCCCCUCUGGAGGGCACCUGCAGGCUCCGGGGGCCUUCUGGGGAUACCGGCCCUGCAGGGGGAAGGCUCAGGCUCCCCGUGGUCAUACUGGGCGGGGGCGCGACACUCUGUAGGUGGUCAGCUACCUACUGCAUGCCACCUGGACCAGAUCUGCCCGCAGACUCUGGUCCCCGAGAGGCAGAGAGGGGGCCUCCUCGGCCUCCGCCUUACCUGGCACCUUGGCGUCAUUGCAGAUUUCUGCAAACGGUCUGAAAGACAGACGAGAGACAGGAGGUGGCGGUUAGAGAAUGCGGUUUCCGCUCUUCUUUCUCAGCUGCUCCCCGCAGGUGGGCGACCCCUCUCAUGAGACGCUGCCACCGCCGCUGGAGGGCCAGUCAGCAUGUGAGGACGCGUAUGAGGACACAGUGAGGAGAUGGUUAUCUAGAAACUAGGAAGUGGGUCCUCCCCAGACCCUGAAUCUGCCACCACCUUGAUCCUGGACUUCCCAGCCUCCGGAACUGUAAGAAGUAAAUGUCUGUUGUUUAUAAGCUUCCUGGUCUGUAGUCUUGUGUUACAGCGGCCUUGACUGGAGUAAGAUAUCUGAGUUUGCAGCCCAGCUGACCCACCGUGACUUAUACCGGCCCUUUCCUGGCUCUGGGUAUCAGUGUCCUCAUCUUUAACAUGAGAGCGUUGGGGUGCCUGGGGGGGGGUGGUGGGGGGAGGGGCGCUCCGUGGGUUAAGCAUCCGGCUCUUGGUUUCGGCCCAGGUCAUGAUUCCACGGUUUGUGAGAUCGAGUCCCACAUCGGGCUCUGUGCUGACAGCAUGCACGGAGCCAGCUUGGGAUUCUCUCUCUGCCACUUCCCUACUCUCUCUCUCUCUCUCUCAAAAUAAAUAAAUAAACUUAAAAAAAAAAAAAAAAAAGAUGAGAGCGUUAAGCUAGCCUGUCUCCUGGAUUCUGUGCAAGUGCGAAGCACCUGUCUGUCUGUCUGUCUGUGUCUGUCUCUCGUCUCCUGGCUGGGCCUGCUUUGGGAAUUUCCCCACCGGAUCCAAGCAGUACCCUCUCCCGUGGCCCUUGUUCACUGUGCCCACCCUGCCCCAGGCGCUGGGGGCACUCACUGGAGCUGGUUGAUGAUAACCAUGCGGACGUGCUCUCGGGCCUUCAGGAU